UGGUAAAUUCAACAUUAUACUACCUAACUCUAAAAGAUAACUUGACUUUUGUCUACUAUGAUUUGACAACAUUUAUUACCCAUUUAUCUUCCCAAUGUAUCUUUCUAACUCCAUAUCUAUCAUUUUCAUUUCUAAGAAAGACCUUCAUUAAUGUCCUGCACAUCUUCAUUUACAAUCUACUUCUUCAUUUAUUCCUUUCUCCAUUAAUGUCCAUUGAGACAAAUCCGUCAUAUAACCCGUUAAUGUCGCCGGGUAGAUCUUAUACUCAUUACUUUCUAUUGAAGCCACCAAAUCUGAGGAUCGAAGCAAUUAUCGAAGCUCUUCAAGAAAAGAAAGUAAGGUGGUGAUUCUACUAGAUGACAUAUCCUGUUACUACAACCCAUAGCUACCUUUGUUAUAUAUGUUAAUGACCAGCUUGUUGGAACAUGUUAAUGGAGUUUAUGCAAGAGAUGAGUCAGCAAAGGUAGCAGAUAAACAGCAAAGACAGACCGUCAAUGGGAGCUCCACCCCUUCUUAGUGAUCUGUGUUUUCGUUUACUAGUAAUAUGUAAUGCGAGACUCUUAUUAUUUUGUCUAAGACGUGUUGUUAAAAAUUUUAUGGCCUUCCGAACUUCUGCCCUGAAGUCGACCUCAACAUAUUUGUGUUGCUUUUGGGCUAUAUGCAUCCAAUUUUAUGUAACUUGCUUGUAGGCAAUGUAGCUUUUUACAAGUUUACCAGUACAUUAAUCUCUAACACAUGUUAUGUGUAACUUGCUGAAAGUCUUAACACACGUUAUAAUAGAGCCUUGAUACAC